ACUAAGUUACUAAAUAGUAGGCUUCAAAUAUUCCUUAUUUGAAAAUACUGUUCAAAGGGGGAAACGUCUCUGGCGCGCAAACAGCAAUUAUUUUACAUGCUUUCUAACAGGUCUCCAUUGAAUUCAAUUUGAAAGACAUAGUUGAAUAACCGAUUUCAAUCAAAGUUGAAAGUCGCAAUUUAUCUUGCCUGUUGCACUUUCCUAAAUAUAUUUCAUGAAGACAAUCCGCUGAUGCCUUCCCAUUGCUCAUCACGCAGACGUUGUCUCCAGUCACAAUGGAGUCUACAAUCUAUAGUCGCGCCAUGAACCUGAUACUGUAUACACACUGUCGACUGUCUGCCAGUGAGCGCAAAUCCGUUACAAACUCGUGAACCGGCUGCCAUGAGACGCAGCUCCUGCACCGGGAGAGUUGGAGAAAAGUUCGUGACAUGGCAUCAACAGUUUGUCAUUAAACAUUUCGACAAUAAUUUGUGCUUUGUGCUCGUAUUUAUAUGCACACUUAAAUGUAUUUUUU